UAUUAUUCGUUUUGUAGUUUUCGAACUGAAAAUUAAGAAUUUUUUUUAUUCUAUAAUAUAGAUAAUAAAGAGGUUUUCCCUCUUCUUUCUAGAGAGAAAAUUCUCCAUUCUUUCUCUUUCUUCACGAUACAAAAUCUUUUAGAAAGGUAAAGAAAUCGUUUUGUUCUUUUGUUGUAAUAUAGUUUCAAUCUUAGGAUCGAUGUUUUAUUCCGAUUAGCGGAUUCUAAAUUUCGCGUUAAACCAAACUUGGAUCUGUCUUCAUGUUCUUCAAUCUUAUUUUCCAGUUUUAGUUUAAAAUUUAAUAAAUUUUGAUCAUGUUUUCGGUUUGUCCGUUAGUAUAUAUAAGCUUAGCGACUUUUGUUUUGCUCUGAAUAAACUACUAUGAUCUGAUUAGAGUUUUUUAGUUAUAAUGAUCCUCCUCUUAUGCAAAUCCUUUGAAUCCCGUUUUGCUUGGAUCAAAACUUUUUCUUCAAAAGUUAUACACGGAUUCCUUCUAGACAAGAAUCAAUCUUUACUCAUCCAUAAAUAUGGAUUCGAUAGCACCAAAGAGUAAAGUAUUUUCGGUGGAAGUAAGAUGUGUUGUGAAAUAUUUCGGUUGAUUUAAGAGAGAUCAGUAGAGUUAGCAUCCUUGUUCGAGUUAGCAUCCCUUGAACAAGGAUGGUCUAACGAAGAUUCUGUAAACAAUAACAAGUCUAGAAGACAACAGUGAUAAGAGAUGAACAAAAGGUUUUCUAUAACUUCAUACUUUUAUUCAUUUUUUCUUUAGGAUAUACAUUAUGUCUCUUUUAUACUAGACUGCACACAGCUAGACCUAAAAGAAUAUACUGUGGAUAUUCUCCUACAGCUGUUCAACCUUAUCUCCAAGCACUGAAAACAUGUUCCUUGUCUUGAUUGCAGGCACCGUACUGUCCUUGGAGUUGCUUUCUGCUUUGUCUCUAGCGUUUAUGACUGUUGCUUUGUUGUUCUGUUGAGUGGGCUUCGAAAGCUUCUGGGCCUCAAGCCCAUUGUCGCUAAUAUCCCCUCGCAAACUCGAGGUGGGAGGACGUUCCACACCGAGUUUGAACCUUAGGUCCUUGAAGCUGUGUAUCGGUAGAGAUUUGGUAAAGAUAUCAGCUAUUUGCUGUGUUGCAUGUAUAUGCUUGACAACUAAUGAUCCUUUUGCCACUCUCUCCCGCGCAUAGUGGUAAUGUGUCUCAAAAUGUUUUGUUCUCUUGUGCAUAACCGGAUUUGCGGUGAGGUGCACUGCAGAGAGAUUGUCACAGUAGACUUCAGCUGGCCUGAUAUGCCUUAGACCCAUCUCUGCCAAAACUGCAUCUAUCCAAGACAAUUCUGCAGCCGUAUCAGAGAGUAACCUAUACUCAGCCUCGGUUGAAGAACGAGCAACCGAGUCUUGUUUUUGUGCUGACCAUGAGAUGAUAUUCGCACCAAGAAACGUACUGAAGCCGCCAGUGGAUCGUCUAGUAGUGUUGAACCCAGCCCAGUCGCUGUCACAGUAGGCUCGUAGAGUUGAAUCAAUAUCAGACUGUAGAGUAAGGCCCAUGUUGAUCGUUCCUUUCAGAUACCUCAAUAUACGCUUCAGAAGCUGAAAAUCAGAGACUGUGGGCUGAUGCAUCUUUUGACACACAUAGUUCACUGCAAAUUGAAGAUCAGGGCGCGUCAGAGUUAAGUAUUGAAGUUUGCCGGCGAGGCUCCGGAAAUAUGUUGGUUCCGAGAACAAUUCAUCCUGAUGUGGAACUCGGUUCAACUGAAUAGGGAGAGGGGUUGGCAUUGGCGAACAGUCAAGCAUGGCCGCCGAUUGUAAAAGAUCCAUAGCGUACUUUUCUUGGUUGAGGAAUAGACCUGACGAAGUAGUGGUUGCUUUGAUUCCAAGGAAAUAACUGAGAGGUCCCAUAUCUUUUAUUCUGAAUCUUGUACCAAGCUGACCAACAAACUCUGCGACAAAGGAUUUGUUGUUCCCUGUUAGAGUCAUAUCAUCAACAUAUAAGAGAAGGAGCAUCAUGUUUUUUCCAUCUGAGUAAAUGAACAGAGAAGGAUCUCGCGUACAACACUUGAAACGAAACUCAAUCAGAUAGGAGCUAAGUUUAUCGAACCACACCCGGGGAGCCUGUUUCAGACCGUAAAUUGCCUUUUUCAGCUUAAACACAUAGUCAGGAUGAUCCUUGCUUUCGAACCCCGGUGGCUGUCGCAUGAAAAUUGUUUCUUGAAGAUCCCUGUGUAAGAAAGCGUUCUUGACAUCAAGUUGCUUGAUCUCCCACUUUGAGAUCACAGCUAAAUGAAACACCAACAGCACCAUUGCAGUGCGAACCAUAUGACUAUAUGUCUCCCAAAAACCAAUGCCUUCUUCUUGCUCAUUCCCUUUUGCUAUAAUCUCACUCUCAGACACUUGACUGUGCCAUCCGCAUUUAGUUUGACUUUGUAGAUCCAUCUACAGCCAAGUAAGUGAACAUCUUGUGGGCGUGGCACUAGAAUCCAUAUCUCAGUUUCUUCGCAAGUACCUAUCUCUUCUCCCAUCGCAGCAUGCCAACCCUCAUGCGCAAGUGCUUCUGCGACAGUCCUUGGCUCUGUUGGAGUCCCUUUCACUGUGACCAUCACUUAUCUUGGAUUUGGUUUUGAAAUGCAUGCCUUUCUUCUCCAAAUCAUCAGGUGAGUGGUCUCAGUUAUUUGCUCUAGUUGAGAAGAUGUAGGCAUGACAGUCAUGUCUUCUUCUGAAGUUGAGUCGGAAUGAUCUUCUUCGUGCUGCAUGUUUGUAUCACCCGAGACUUGUUGAGUUGGCGAAGCAGGCAUAGGGAUGGUAGAGACAUCUGAUUUACCGAUGUGUUUUGUAGGAAUCUCUUCUUCUUCUUUUGCCUUCUUCUCAGAGGAGAUUCUUAAGUCCUCUUGCUCACCAGACCGCUUACACCAGGCUUGUAGCAGAGGAGUUUCAGCCUGUGGAAUGUAGUGUUUGUACACGUCCACAAAAGGAAAAUUUUCCUCAUGGAAGACCACGUGCCUGCUAAGAUACACUCUUCCUGUGGGAGGGUAGAGAUACCGGUACCCCUUGUAUUGUUCUGAGUAUCCUAAGAACACACACAUAAGUGACUUAGGAUCAAACUUAUGGUGAGAAUAAGGCUUCAGAUAAGGGUAGCAGACACAUCCCAGCACUCGGAGAGAAGAGUAAUCAGAGGCUCUUCCACGAAUCUGUUCAUAAGGACUCAUUGCUUUGUUAUGAACAGAACUUGGAAGCAGAUUGAUAAUAAAAUUUGCAGUGAGGAAAGCACCAACCCAGAGUGUUGGAGGUAGAUGUCCUUGAAACAUCAUAGACAUUUUGAGCUCCGUGAUGUGACGAUGUUUUCUUUCUGCUAACCCGUUCUGUUCAGGUGUGUGAGGGCAAGAUAAGUAAUGUUUGAUCCCACACUUCAUCAGAUGACUCGAGAAUUCUUGAUUCACAAACUCUCUUCCACCAUCACUUUGAAAAAUACUAAUUCUUUGAUUAAACCAGUUUUCAGACUGUUGUUGAAAGAUUUUGAACUUAGACAACACAUCAGACUUUAACUUCAAAGGAUAAAGCCAACUGAAUCUUGAGAAGUUAUCAAUAAAGACCACAUAAUAUCUGAAACCUAGACCUGACAAUCUAGAAGCAUGAAAAACAGACUCAACAAAAGGAAGCUUAGAUGAUUUUCCUAAACGACAGGCUUCACACGCAGACUGAAGACUCUUAUUGAUGGUGAUUUCCUUUAUUGAAGAUAGAUGCUAAAAGAUUUGGUAAUGAGCAUGCCCCAACCUCCUAUGCCAAACCUGAUCAGACACCGGUCUUUGUCUUGAGGAGUAGAAGGCUUGAAAUAGAGGAUUGCUCAACAGGUACAGACCGUUAGUUUUGUUUCUAUGACUGAGGACCUGCUUGGUGGUUUUGUCCUUAACAAACACAUGAGUAGAGUCAAAUGUGAACUCACAAGAAGGAUAAUCAUCAGUAAAUUUAGACACUGACAGUAAAUAUUUAGUUAUAUCGGGGCAUACUAACACAUCAUUGAGAUCCAGUUUACCUGCAGCCGAGGGAAGUGGUAUUGAACCGAUGUGCGUAAUAGGCAAGAAGUCUCCAUUCCCGACAAUCACUGAAUCAGAACCUUCAUACGGGAGGGCAGAGAAGAAGUGGUGUGGAUCGUUGGUCACAUGAUGAGUGGCAGCAGUAUCUGUGUACCAGCUUGGACCAGAACCUCCUGCACCAUCAGACAAUCGCAUAGUAGCCAGAGCAUUCUUCAUUGCCUCCACAUUGUACGUCUGAUCAAACCGCUUGAAACACUUGAAAGCUGGAUGACCAUACUUUCCACAAAUCUGGCAAGUUGGUCUAUGAUCAUUAUCAGAAGUUGUUCCUCUUCCUUCUUGUUGUCCAAACUGCUGAGGGAAACCUCUUCCUGCAGUCGUGUAUGAGCCUCUGCCUCUGUAGCCCCCUCGGUAUUGUCCUCUGCUACGACCAAAGUAUCCUCCCCGGUUAGUGUAGAAAGCUUGGUGUUGAGUAGCUUCUGGUGCUGUCUCAUACUUCUGCAGCUUGUCUUCAAAACCAGUAAGCUUGAACAUCACAUCAUCAAGACUAGGACCAGGGAGAGUGUCUAUUAAGUCUUCUAUCACAGUUACAAUGGCCUCAUAUUCACGUCCCAAACCAUUAAGUACUCCAAAAAAUUUCUCUUGUUCAGAAAUAAGAGCUCCAAUGGAGUCAAGUUGAUCACACAGAGACUUGAUUUCAGACAAAUACUGAGAGAGAGACUUGGAACCUUUUGUGGUGGUCUGAAUGCGUCGCUACAUGUCAAGGCGUCGAGUAGCAGAGACUAUGUUAUACUUCUUCGCCAGAGCAUACCAGAUGUCUUGAGAUGAGUGAAGACCAUACACGCACUUCAGGGCUUCUUCAGAGAGGGAACCAAUCAACCAAGCCAUGAUGAGAUGAUCUGUAUGAACCCACUUGAGGAAGUCAGAGUUACUUGCUUCUGUAGUUUGGUCUCCAUUGCGCACCAUGAGUGUUGGUGGAGGUCGUGGUAAGGCUCCAGUGACAUAACCUAACACGAGCUGACUGUAAAGAAACUGCUCAAACUGCAACUUCCAAGACAGAUAGUUUGUGUCGCUGAGCUUCAGCAUCACCACGUGAGUGAUUGAGAGAAUGGCCGGAGUAAAGACGUCGGAAGGUGUUGGAGCCGCCAUGGUUCUGAUACCAUGUAAAAAAUAACAAGUCUAGAAGACAACAGUGAUAAGAGAUGAACAAAAGGUUUUUUAUAACUUUAUACUUUUAUUCAUUUUUUCUUUAGGAUAUACAUUAUGUAUCUUUUAUACUAGACUGCACACAGCUAGAUCUAAAAGAAUAUAUUCUGGAUAUUCUCCUACAGCUGUUCAACCUUAUCUCCAAGCACUGAAAACUUGUUCCUUGUCUUGAUUGCAGACACCAUACUGUCCUUGGAGUUGCUUUCUGCUUUGUCUCUAGCGUUUAUGACCGUUGCUUUGUUGUUCUGUUGAGUGGGUUUCGAAUGCUUCUGGGCCUCAAGCCCAUUGUCGCUAAUAGAUUCUACUCUUUCGGUUUUUUUUCUUGCUUUAUCAACCAGAGCGGAUAGAAGCUUUGAUCUAAAGUAGCGGUUAUGGUGGAAGAUCAGAGAUGAAUGAGUACAAGGACAGAGGGUAGCAGCUGAGUGGUGAAGCACAUGUUGGAAGACGCGGUGGUUUGAAGAUGAGAACUACCGGCAGCGAUUCUAUGGUUAAUCUCGAUUUGCAUGUAUUACUUUUGCCACCUAGCUUAAUGUUCUUUAUUCUGUUUACACGUGUAUCUGUGUUUGUACCACGCGAUGAGCAAAAAAUUGUACUCUUUGUAAUCGAAUCAAAAAUGUUGAAUUAAAAAAAAGAUAAUAAAGAAUAUAUUAUUCGUUUACCACCAAAUAUGGUAGAUCGGUUGGCUUAAAUGCAGAUAUUGAUGUAUUGUGCUCCUAGUUCACAAUAGGUGGGAAGAGUAGAUUAGCAUAUCAGUUUAAUGUCAAAAACUGGUUCGGGAAUGAAGGAAAAAUUAAGAUCGGAAGACCCAAUUCCUCUUGAAAUAAAAAUAAAUCAAGUUUUUGCUUUGUUUCUUUCAUAUAAACAUAUAUAAUCAGCUUUGAUAAAAAAAUAUAUAUGUAUAUAUAUAAUCAGCUAUAGUUAUU
rnacentral:lncRNA from 1 species